rnacentral:lncRNA from 1 species
UGAAUAUUUAAAAUAGUGUAUUAUCUAUAUUAUUUCAUUAUACAGGAUGACCAUAAAAUAACAUUAGAUGUUCAGAGCCUUCUAUCACAUAUGUACUGGACAAAAUGUAACAAAAUUUAGUGGACAUACACAGUGGAACAUGAGGUUUCAAUUUCAAAAGAAAAUAUAUUUAGUACCAAAAGUCCUCAACAGGGGGAUUGUGGCACUGCAGAAGUGUAAAAUGUAUGAUUAAGGAAUGUGGAAUUGCUGAAUGAGAUAGCACACAUCAAAUUUCUGAACAAUACAUGCCAACGUUUAUUAUAAAUUACACAAGUUUCAAUAUGAUCACCAUUCUGAUGUUCCAAGAACUGCAUGUGCUGCACAACAUACUCUCCGGCAGUGCACAAUAUAUUGGCAUGAAAGAUGUUGUGCGCCAUAUGCAGUUCUUGGAACAUCUGAAUGAUGAUGGGAAUUUCAAAGGGAGUAUAAUGUAUCAUGUCCGAUAUUUCUAUAUUAAGCGAUUGCUAAGUUAUAAGUGACAGAAUAACUGUAACAUUAUGUGUCAUAAGGCAAUUUAGCAUGUAAUUCAAUAAUUGCUGUUAACAGAGCAUUCAAACCAUCAAAAUUGAAUAGAGCAUUUAAAAUUAUGUUAUGCAAUGUUGAUAAAAACAAUACCCUAAGUUUUUGAAUACAGGACCCAAAAAUUUGCAAAAAUAUUUGAUUUGUCCAAUGCAAAUGCAAAUAUUUUAAGAACCAUU